rnacentral:rRNA from 1 species
UAAGGAAUAUUGGUCAAUGGGCGGAAGCCUGAACCAGCCAUGCCGCGUGCAGGAAGACGGCCCUACGGGUUGUAAACUGCUUUUGCAGGGGAAUAAACCCCCGGUCGUGACCGGGGCUGAAUGUACUCUGAGAAUAAGGAUCGGCUAACUCCGUGCCAGCAGCCGCGGUAAUACGGAGGAUCCGAGCGUUAUCCGGAUUUAUUGGGUUUAAAGGGUGCGUAGGCGGCCUUGUAAGUCAGGGGUGAAAGACGGUAGCUUAACUAUCGCAGUGCCUUUGAUACUGCAGGGCUUGAAUACACUAGAGGUAGGCGGAAUGUGACAAGUAGCGGUGAAAUGCAUAGAUAUGUCACAGAACACCAAUUGCGAAGGCAGCUUACUAUGGUGAGAUUGACGCUGAGGCACGAAAGCGUGGGGAUCAAACAGG